rnacentral:rRNA from 1 species
CAGCCGCCGCGGUAAUACGGAGGGUGCAAGCGUUAUCCGGAUUUAUUGGGUUUAAAGGGUCCGUAGGCGGACUUAUAAGUCAGUGGUGAAAGCCUGUCGCUUAACGAUAGAACUGCCAUUGAUACUGUAAGUCUUGAGUAUAUUUGAGGUAGCUGGAAUAAGUAGUGUAGCGGUGAAAUGCAUAGAUAUUACUUAGAACACCAAUUGCGAAGGCAGGUUACCAAGAUAUAACUGACGCUGAGGGACGAAAGCGUGGGUAGCGAACAGGAUUAGAUACCCGAGUAGUCCCUGUCUCUUAUAC